AUGGGCGAAAGCCUGAUGCAGCGACGCCGCGUGAGUGAGGAAGUAUUUCGGUAUGUAAAGCUCUAUCAGCAGGGAAGAAAGAAAUGACGGUACCUGAGUAAGAAGCUCCGGCUAAAUACGUGCCAGCAGCCGCGGUAAUACGUAUGGAGCAAGCGUUAUCCGGAUUUACUGGGUGUAAAGGGAGCGUAGGCGGCAGAGCAAGUCUGAUGUGAAAGCCCGGGGCUCAACCCCGGUAGUGCAUUGGAAACUGUUCGGCUGGAGUGUCGGAGGGGUAAGCGGAAUUCCUGGUGUAGCGGUGAAAUGCGUAGAUAUCAGGAAGAACACCGGAGGCGAAGGCGGCUUACUGGACGAUUACUGACGCUGAGGCUCGAAAGCGUGGGGAGCGAACAGGAUUAGAUACCCUGGUAGUCCACGCUGUAAACGAUGAAUACUAGGUGUCGGUACCCGAAGGGUAUCGGUGCCGUCGCAAACGCAUUAAGUAUUCCACCUGGGGAGUACGUUCGCAAGAAUGAAACUCAAAGGAAUUGACGGGGACCCGCACAAGCGGUGGAGCAUGUGGUAUAAUUCGAAGCAACGCGAAGAACCUUACCAAGUCUUGACAUCCCGAUGACAAGCGAUGUAAUGUCGUCUCUCUUCGGAGCAUCGGAGACAGGUGGUGCAUGGUUGUCGUCAGCUCGUGUCGCGAGAUGUU
rnacentral:rRNA from 1 species